GUCACUGUCCUCAUGAUUUUGUGUGAGUAGUAAACAUUCUUACAACUGAUCUUCAUCUACAACUGUUCAUGUUUUAUUGAUGCUGAGCAACUUACUUGUUGUAUUUAGUCAUUCUAUCCUAUGGUGUGGAGAGGAUCCUUGGAGAAGUGGUUGAGCAAAGAGUUCAACCAGGAGAAAAAAUCACCUUGGAGUGUAACUCAGAAACAGUGAUGAUAAGUAUAGAGUGGAGUAGGAACUGCACCCAUGUGAAUCAGCCAGUAUUCACCAUAGCAGGCAUAUGGGCUCCACCUCGCUUCAGUGUUACCACCACAACUACAUCCAGUGUUCUGAGGAUUGAGAACAUCACUGAGGGGGACCUUGGACUUUACUACUGUACCGGUUCAAAGGCUGCGUCAGGAUUAGAAAAGGGAAGGGCGCCAUUUGGCAAAAUUGUCAAAGUGAUUUUUCAAGAUAAAGACAUCCUUCCCAGUCCUACACCUUCUAGUUCUACUACUGAAUGUGAGCACUGCUGGAUUCUACUGCUCAGUUUGUGUCCCACUUGUAUUGUUUUCACCGCGUUCAUCUCCUCUACUUGCGUGUACUGUCUACUCCGUAAGAAAGGGUCAAAGGAGAAGGAGCUUCAUCACAGAUCUACAAUCAGAACAGAGAGGACACAGAAUGAAGACCUUUGCUAUGCCUCCCUGGACAUGCCUAUCAGUACACACAAGCCAAAUCCCAGGAAAAAGAGACAACAGAAUACAAACUUCAGUACAUACUCUGAGGUCAGGACUGGUACAAAGUAGAAUCUUCACCUGUUAUGUUGAGACUUCAGCCUUCUCUUCUGUCAUGGUUCCACAAUUAACUGGUAUUUACAGAUUUACUUUCCAAAAUAUUUUGGGAUCGAAACCAACCUAGUUUAAGAAUGUUUGUGUGAUAUAAGCCAAAUCAUGUGCUGAAAUGCAUGAUUAAUUCAUAAUAAGAUAUUUUUAAAAAGGCUGUUCAUAGUCUUGUGUAAAUACCUCCAAUGCGUCAUUCUGAUUUUGACUUUCUUAAUGUUAAUGACUUGACUUUGUUAAUGUUAAUGUUACA